UACGUAGGGUCCGAGCGUUGUCCGGAAUUACUGGGCGUAAAGAGCUCGUAGGUGGUUUGUCGCGUUGUUCGUGAAAACUCACAGCUCAACUGUGGGCGUGCGGGCGAUACGGGGCAGACUAGAGUACUGCAGGGGAGACUGGAAUUCCUGGUGUAGCGGUGGAAUGCGCAGAUAUCAGGGAGGAACACCGGUGGCGGAAGGCGGAUCUCUGGGCCGCAACUGACGCUGAGGAGCGGAAAGCUGGGGAGCGAACAGG
rnacentral:rRNA from 1 species